UACAGAGGUCUCAACCGUUGUUCGGAUUCAUUGGGCGUAAAGGGUGCGUAGGCGGUCGUGCAAGUCGGAUGUGAAAUCUCAGGGCUCAACCCUGAAACUGCAUUCGAUACUGCGCGGCUAGAGUGCUGGAGGGGAGACUGGAAUUCCCGGUGUAGCAGUGAAAUGCGUAGAGAUCGGAAAGAACACCAAUGGCGAAAGCACUCUGCUGGGCCGACACUGACACUGAGAGACGAAAGCUAGGGGAGCAAAUGGG
rnacentral:rRNA from 1 species